rnacentral:rRNA from 1 species
UGGGGAAUCUUGCGCAAUGCGCGAAAGCGUGACGCAGCAACGCCGCGUGGGGGAAGAAGGCCUUCGGGUUGUAAACCCCUUUCAGGAGGGACGAAGGUAGGGCGGUGAACAGCCGUCCCUACUGACGGUACCUCCAGAAGAAGCCCCGGCUAACUACGUGCCAGCAGCCGCGGUAAUACGUAGGGGGCAAGCGUUGUCCGGAAUCAUUGGGCGUAAAGCGCGCGUAGGCGGCCCGGUAAGUCCGCUGUAAAAGUCCAGGGCUCAACCCUGGAAAGCCGGUGGAUACUGUCGGGCUAGAGUCCGGAAGAGGCGAGUGGAAUUCCUGGUGUAGCGGUGGAAUGCGCAGAUAUCAGGAGGAACACCGAUGGCGAAAGGCAGCUCGCUGGGACGGUACUGACGCUGAGGCGCGAAAGCGUGGGGAGCGAACAGGAUUAGAUACCCUGGUAGUCCACGCCGUAAACGAUGGGCACUAGGUGUGGGAGGUGUCGGACUCCUCCCGUGCCGUCGCUAACGCAUUAA